GAUCCUGGCUCAGGAUGAACGCUAGCUACAGGCUUAACACAUGCAAGUCGAGGGGCAGCAUGGUCUUAGCUUGCUAAGAUUGAUGGCGACCGGCGCACGGGUGAGUAACGCGUAUCCAACCUUCCCUAUAGUAGGGGAUAGCCCGUAGAAAUGCGGAUUAAUACCCUAUGUUGUAUUUCGAGGACAUCUGACGAAUACCAAAGGUUCACCGCUAUAGGAUGGGGAUGCGUCUGAUUAGGUAGUCGGCGGGGUAACGGCCCACCGAGCCAACGAUCAGUAGGGGUUCUGAGAGGAAGGUCCCCCACAUUGGAACUGAGACACGGUCCAAACUCCUACGGGAGGCAGCAGUGAGGAAUAUUGGUCAAUGGGCGAGAGCCUGAACCAGCCAAGUAGCGUGCAAGGAUGACGGCCCUAUGGGUUGUAAACUGCUUUUAUGCGGGGAUAAAGUUCACUACGUGUAGUGUUUUGUAGGUACCGCAUGAAUAAGGACCGGCUAAUUCCGUGCCAGCAGCUGC
rnacentral:rRNA from 1 species